rnacentral:tRNA from 1 species
GAGCACAUAGCUCAGUUGGGUUGGGAGAGCGUCAGACUGAAGAUCUGAAGGUCGCUGGUUCGAUCCCGGUUGGGCCCA